rnacentral:tRNA from 1 species
GGGGAUAUAGUUCAGUGGUAGGGUGCUUGCUUAGCAUGCAUGAGACCCUGGGUUCAAUUCCUAGUUAUCAUCC